rnacentral:rRNA from 1 species
UACGUAGGGUGCGAGCGUUGUCCGGAAUUAUUGGGCGUAAAGAGCUCGUAGGCGGUCUGUCACGUCGGCUGUGAAAACCCGAGGCUCAACCUCGGGCCUGCGGUGGGUACGGGCAGACUAGAGUGAUGUAGGGGGAGACUGGAAUUCCUGGUGUAGCGGUGAAAUGCGCAGAUAUCAGGAGGAACACCGAUGGCGAAGGCAGGUCUCUGGGCAUUAACUGACGCUGAGGAGCGAAAGCAUGGGGAGCGAACAGG